GAUGAACGCUGGCGGCGUGCCUAAUACAUGCAAGUCGAGCGAACAGACGAGGAGCUUGCUCCUCUGACGUUAGCGGCGGACGGGUGAGUAACACGUGGAUAACCUACCUAUAAGACUGGGAUAACUUCGGGAAACCGGAGCUAAUACCGGAUAAUAUAUUGAACCGCAUGGUUCAAUAGUGAAGGACGGUUUUGCUGUCACUUAUAGAUGGAUCCGCGCCGCAUUAGCUAGUUGGUAAGGUAACGGCUUACCAAGGCAACGAUGCGUAGCCGACCUGAGAGGGUGAUCGGCCACACUGGAACUGAGACACGGUCCAGACUCCUACGUGAGGCAGCAGUAGGGAAUCUUCCGCAAUGGGCGAAAGCCUGACGGAGCAACGCCGCGUGAGUGAUGAAGGUCUUCGGAUCGUAAAACUCUGUUAUUAGGGAAGAACAAAUGUGUAAGUAACUAUGCACGUCUUGACGGUACCUAAUCAGAAAGCCACGGCUAACUACGUG
rnacentral:rRNA from 1 species